CCUACGGGCGGCUGCAGUGAGGAAUAUUGGUCAAUGGACGAGAGUCUGAACCAGCCAAGCCGCGUGAAGGAUGACUGUCCUAAGGGUUGUAAACUUCUUUUAUAUGGGAAUAAAAUGUUCCACGUGAGCGUUUUUGUAUGUACCUUAUGAAUAAGGAUCGGCUAACUCCGUGCCAGCAGCCGCGGUAAUACGGAGGAUCCGAGCGUUAUCCGGAUUUAUUGGGUUUAAAGGGUGCGUAGGUGGAUUGUUAAGUCAGUUGUGAAAGUUUGCGGCUCAACCGUAAAAUUGCAGUUGAAACUGGCAGUCUUGAGUACAGUAGAGGUAGGCGGAAUUCGUGGUGUAGCGGUGAAAUGCUUAGAUAUCACGAAGAACUCCGAUUGCGAAGGCAGUUCACUGGACUGCAACUGACACUGAGGCUCGAAAGUGUGGGUAUCAAACAGGAUUAGAUACCCGAGUAGUC
rnacentral:rRNA from 1 species